UUUGUUGAAGCAUCGAUACUUAGCGUUUGUUAUGUGUCUACAUUAACUACUACGGCAACGCCGGCCAGCCAGUACUCUCUUUAGGGAUGGGCAUUUCCUGCCCACCGUCACGAACAAUCGCACAACACUAAACUAAAUCUGCACAUCACUAAGCAGUUGACUCAAAAACGUAAACAAAGGCUAGUGACAAAACAAUGCAAAAAUAAAGCUAACAAAAUUUCGGCGGGUUCCUUGUUGUUGCCGUUGCACAUAAACCUAUCCUGUGAUGACUUCUAUUCGAACGGCAGCAUUCCCCUUCCUAACGUUAACGAAUUUUUUGCCGGACAUUUUCUUUUUCACUAUGAACAAAAGACAGACGACAAGACUUUUGCCUGUUGCCGCUGGAAACAAUAAUCGAUUAUAAUUUUUUACUGAGUGAAUAUAAUUCUCGAAUUGGAAAUUAUGUGAGGCAUAUAAGUUUGAAAGAUUGCUACCUUACUCUAUCUAAAGAGCUCUCCGGCAGCCCAAAAUGUAAGCCACAACAAUAUGCAUCAAUGUUUUAUUCUAAUGCAUCGAUAUUGAGCUUUGAUGUUCACCGGUAAAUCGAUGUACAUUUCUAUUUCAUCUAUUUCAUCAUCAACAAUGAUGCAAAAGCCAAUUCAGCAAUUGGCAACCCUACCAAGAAGCGUUA